rnacentral:rRNA from 1 species
AGACCUCAGGUCAGGCGGGGCUACCCGCUGAGUUUAAGCAUAUCAAUAAGCGGAGGAAAAGAAACUAACAAGGAUUCCCUUAGUAACGGCGAGCGAACCGGGAAGAGCCCACCAUGAGAAUCGGUCGCCCUAGGCGUUCGAAUUGUAGUUAAAAAAAAGCGUCA